rnacentral:rRNA from 1 species
GGUUAAGCGACUAAGCGUACACGGUGGAUGCCCUGGCAGUCAGAGGCGAUGAAGGACGUGCUAAUCUGCGAUAAGCGUCGGUAAGGUGAUAUGAACCGUUAUAACCGGCGAUUUCCGAAUGGGGAAACCCAGUGUGAUUCGUCACACUAUCAUUAACUGAAUCCAUAGGUUAAUGAGGCGAACCGGGGGAACUGAAACAUCUAAGUACCCCGAGGAAAAGAAAUCAACCGAGAUUCCCCCAGUAGCGGCGAGCGAACGGGGAGCAGCCCAGAGCCUGAAUCAGUGUGUGUGUUAGUGGAAGCGUCUGGAAAGGCGCGCGAUACAGGGUGACAGCCCCGUACACAAAAAUGCACAUGCUGUGAGCUCGAUGAGUAGGGCGGGACACGUGGUAUCCUGUCUGAAUAUGGGGGGACCAUCCUCCAAGGCUAAAUACUCCUGACUGACCGAUAGUGAACCAGUACCGUGAGGGAAAGGCGAAAAGAACCCCGGCGAGGGGAGUGAAAAAGAACCUGAAACCGUGUACGUACAAGCAGUGGGAGCACGCUUAGGCGUGUGACUGCGUACCUUUUGUAUAAUGGGUCAGCGACUUAUAUUCUGUAGCAAGGUUAACCGAAUAGGGGAGCCGAAGGGAAACCGAGUCUUAACUGGGCGUUAAGUUGCAGGGUAUAGACCCGAAACCCGGUGAUCUAGCCAUGGGCAGGUUGAAGGUUGGGUAACACUAACUGGAGGACCGAACCGACUAAUGUUGAAAAAUUAGCGGAUGACUUGUGGCUGGGGGUGAAAGGCCAAUCAAACCGGGAGAUAGCUGGUUCUCCCCGAAAGCUAUUUAGGUAGCGCCUCGUGAAUUCAUCUCCGGGGGUAGAGCACUGUUUCGGCAAGGGGGUCAUCCCGACUUACCAACCCGAUGCAAACUACGAAUACCGGAGAAUGUUAUCACGGGAGACACACGGCGGGUGCUAACGUCCGUCGUGAAGAGGGAAACAACCCAGACCGCCAGCUAAGGUCCCAAAGUCAUGGUUAAGUGGGAAACGAUGUGGGAAGGCCCAGACAGCCAGGAUGUUGGCUUAGAAGCAGCCAUCAUUUAAAGAAAGCGUAAUAGCUCACUGGUCGAGUCGGCCUGCGCGGAAGAUGUAACGGGGCUAAACCAUGCACCGAAGCUGCGGCAGCGACGCUUAUGCGUUGUUGGGUAGGGGAGCGUUCUGUAAGCCUGCGAAGGUGUGCUGUGAGGCAUGCUGGAGGUAUCAGAAGUGCGAAUGCUGACAUAAGUAACGAUAAAGCGGGUGAAAAGCCCGCUCGCCGGAAGACCAAGGGUUCCUGUCCAACGUUAAUCGGGGCAGGGUGAGUCGACCCCUAAGGCGAGGCCGAAAGGCGUAGUCGAUGGGAAACAGGUUAAUAUUCCUGUACUUGGUGUUACUGCGAAGGGGGGACGGAGAAGGCUAUGUUGGCCGGGCGACGGUUGUCCCGGUUUAAGCGUGUAGGCUGGUUUUCCAGGCAAAUCCGGAAAAUCAAGGCUGAGGCGUGAUGACGAGGCACUACGGUGCUGAAGCAACAAAUGCCCUGCUUCCAGGAAAAGCCUCUAAGCAUCAGGUAACAUCAAAUCGUACCCCAAACCGACACAGGUGGUCAGGUAGAGAAUACCAAGGCGCUUGAGAGAACUCGGGUGAAGGAACUAGGCAAAAUGGUGCCGUAACUUCGGGAGAAGG